GUAUAACAUUCACACAGAUUCACUUUAUUUUCUCUCUCAUUCACACUUUGUUAUCCCCAAACCCUAGCAGCAGCCGCUGUGCACUCAUCCCUUCUCUGUUUUCUCUUUCAAGUUCAAGUCCCAAACUUUCUCUUCUAAUUUCUUCUACUCUCAUUUUUUGUUUGUGAAUUCUUCUCUAUUACUUUGUUCCUCUCCAACAAUUUUUUUUCUACUCUAUGUCUCUCAAAACAACUCUAUAUAUUUGCAGAUCUAAAUGUUUGUCAUUGCUUUUGUUUGUUUGAAUUUUUUACAGAUCCGGAUUUUUUAGUUUUUGAUAUGUUAUUCUAUUUUUCUAGAGAAGAUUGGUUACUUUGUUUGAUUUUUUUCUUUCUCAUCUUUCUUCUUAUUCAUGACCCGUACAGACCAAACCGAAUGAUUCGAUGAACCCGAAAAACCGCAGCCCGAAAAACCGAAAUAAAAUAUCGGUCGAUAUGGACCUUGUAAUAACACACGUGGUUUGGGUCGGAUGGACAUUUUGGGCCCACACUGACCCAUUGUCCACCCCUACAAACCACUACCAGUCUCCUUCAUUAUUCAUUAUUCAUUUCCAAAGUUAGAAAACAACCUUUUACUCUUCUCUCUCACGCAAAAGCUUCAGCAACAACAACAAAAUCAUUUUACUCCAUUUUGGAAGCUUUGAGCCUUGCGUGUGUCUCUACACACAUGUUCUUCCAUCUUAAUCAAUCUCCCAAAGAAGAAGCUUCACUCAUCUCUUCCCUUGCAGCCAUAUCCAACAAAUUUCCAAACUCUCACAAAUAACCCAUUUCUAGUCAUGCAUGUUUGAGAUUGUUCUUUAGAUUCAAGAUUUGAAGUGAUGUAAUCUAAGUCCUAGCCACUGCAUGUGUAGACCCCUCUUGGAUUGAGAUGUUUGUUCAAAAAUCUAAGAGUUAGAGAGAAGAAUUAGCACUGAAUAAGUAUGUUAGAGCAGAAGAACAUGGGCACAAGAUGGAAGCUUGAAGUUUUGAUUGUGGAUUUUUGAAGAAAUUUGGGUUAAACCCGUAUUCAAGGACAGACCUUCCCUAAAAAGUUUUAUAAUUUUUGGACGAGGGAUGAGGUUGGUAGCCAUUUUUGAAGUUGGAAGUCAGUAGAAGGAAUUGUGCAGAAAAUCUGAUUUUUUUUUUGUUUUUAUGGGCUACGGGUUUGCAUUUUGAGCGGCUCAAACGGAUGAUUAUAAGCGUGUGAAACAGUUCGGAAUUGCUAUCAAUUCAGGUGGGUUCCCUUAAGUUCAAUUUCACCUUAAUAGAGUAGUUCAUAGUUUUCCCCAAAUAUUAAACUAUGCAUGACAACUUAAGUUUGGUUAUGUUUAGGAUUAAAUUAGAAUAACUCAUUAACUGAUUAAUUAACCACUUAAAUAAGCCCUGCAUGUUGAAUUGACUGUAAUAUGUGGAAUUUAGUACGAAGUAUAAUUAUAUAAGCUGAAUUGGACAUAAACACUAUGUUGAGUUAUGCAGGAUUCCGUGGUUGAAUCGGCUCAACCAGAGCUUGCAUUGAUCCAUAAGUUUCCUUGUGAAGCAAAAAUGUGUCUUAUGCGCCUCAUGAGCCGGUUCAUGCCUUGAAUGAGCCUGUGCAUAAGCGCAUAAUGUAUUUUAUUAAAAUCUGGGAAAUGUUGCAUCGGUACAAACGUUGUGUGAACCGGCUUAAGCAUGUCCUGGGUGAGUUUGAAUUUCUACAAGGCAAACUUGUGUCGAUGCAUAUAAGUCAAAUAUCUUGCUUUCUUAAAAACUGGAUUAUAUGCAUCGGUACAUAGAACCCUUGAACCGGUGCAAACAAAAUAAUUUACUAAAAACCUUUUGGCUUAUAUAUAGGAGGUAUAAUAACCGUUUUAUUUCAACUGAAAAUCCUCCAUUAUGAACAUUAUUUUAUAAAAACUAUAAGUGACUAGAAUUCCACGAUUACGGACUUUCGUACAUGUAUUAAAAUCAGUUAGACAAUUGAAUCAGGAUAUUCAGGAUUGUUAGAAAUACCCUCGGGAAGGUUUUCUUUUCUUUGUGCAGGAUAACCAUUCAAGAUUAUGAACAUUAGUUACCAUGUCAUGAGAAUCAUUUCAGAAUCCGAGAAAUUUAAUAAGAACUGCAAGCUGAGGUGGAACCCGACGUAUAUUAUUAUCGGUAGUACGAGGACUAGGCACUCCGGGACCCGCUUGCCUCGAAGUGACCCUAUGCGGAUAAUAUUGACAAGAUAAUAAUAAGCGGUACACCUUUACUGCUUUAUAUUAUUAUGUUAUGAAUUAUGUCAAGAUUAGUACUAUUAGAAGUUCAGGAUCAGGUUAUGUUAGAAACUAUUAGUUUUAGUUCCCCUGGUGUAGUCACCAGUAGUUGGGUAGUAGGAACUCACUGAGGCUUAGUAGUGUCAUCCCACGCCCUUCAAAUUUUUUUAGGUAAAUAGGUUAACCUGAGCAAGGACCAGACAGGAACCGAUGAUCGACGUUGCGCUUGGAUUAUCGGAUUAGAAGACUUUCGUUAAGCUGUUAAGUUGGGAUACAAUUUGUUAAGUUGUUAAGUUGAGAUACAAUUCUCUUUCGUUUGUAUUGUACUGGAUUUUCACAUUGUUCUUGUGAUAUCUUGUAAAUUCAAUAAAUUAUUUUUGAAUUUUAAGGUGCUCGGAUUUCAAUUAUUAAAUAUUCUAGUCAAUUUAGUUGGGGUUUCACAUCAGGAGGCAUUAAGACGCUUCCCUGGAAUUGAAAAUGUCUUCUCUAAGCUUUUUGUUUUUGUUGAAGAGGUCAAAAUGGAAUACAAUCAGUCGAAACCCAUAUAUAGCAAUGGAGUCAACCACCAACAAUGAAAAUUUGAGACUAAAGUUACAUUUGUCGAGUUCAAUCACCAAUAAGAAAAUAAUUUGACCUUAUCUAGCAUUUGGUGCAAAGAAGAAGCUGUGUUCCAGACACAAGCGAGCCAAAUAAGCUGCAUAAAGGACCGCCAUGCUCGCUGACCACCUACUGGCUGAGUGAAAGAAAUAAAUAAUGCGUCGAUUCAACAUCGCUGCAUCCAGAUACACAAUAGCAAACGUCGGCUGAAAUGAUUCCUCAAGUAACCAAGUUUUUCUUCGUUGGAAACCUAUCCCUCAAAAGUCUGCAUGCAAGAAUCGAAACCUUAAAGGAACCUGUCUGUGCCAUAUAAGACCGUGACCGUCAUCUAAAUUGACCAUAUCCUAAGAAAUCAAUAACUGAUACGCGCCACGAACAGAGUAACCGUGAUUAGGGUCUGGCACCCACUGCCACCUGUCUGAAAUAUGAUCCUACAAAGAGAUAGUAGGUAGUAAGGCCUGACACUAUCCUAACUUCUCCUCCUCCCACAACUGCCUCCUCCAAACCCACGUUUGACUACCAGCCCCCCACCCUAACAAAGACAUCUCUGCUACUAAAGCUGCUUUAUUCUCCGCUAAGUCAAACAUGCCUAAAACUCACCCACAAAAAACUAUCCCCUAGCCAUGGAUCAGUCCAAAACAAGGUAUCAGACCCAUCCCCAACCUUCUUCGAAACACUCUCUUGAAACAACCCUACACCAUCAGCACCCUCCAAGAUUCUCACAAUCUCCCUCCACCACGCAGACCCUCUCCUCUCUCCAUCUUUCACUCUUUCUCUCUCGACCCAAUACCUAGCUGCCAGCACUCGGAACCCAUUUUCCGAAAAGAGCUAAGUUAAACUCCCUCAAUUGUCUAACCUCUAACCCUACAUACUCCUUACGUAAACAAAUAGUUUUCCAACUGAUCCAAGGGAUUUUCCUACGAUCCUCACCCCCCCCCCCCCAAGAAAAUAUUAAUCAGAAAAGAUUCAAUAGAAGAGAUUAUACUUGAGGGAUCCUUGAAGAAGGAAAGAGCAUAGACAAGUAGAGAGGUUAAGACAUACUUGAGUAAGAUCAGACGACCGCCAAAAAAAGGGAAGCGACUCUUCCAUCCAUAUGACAUGUUCUUUAUAUGAGCUAUCAUCGGUUCCCAAAAAGCCAAACGACGCGGAUCACCACCAAUAGAAACCUAGAUAAAGGAAAGACACAUUUCCCACUCUACAGCACAGAGCCUAUGCGGCCUCAUGUAACUAGGAAUCAGGGAUAUUAACCCUUACCUGCAAACUCUUGUUUAAAUUAACCUUCAAAAUCAACAUAGACUCGAACACCACCAAGACGGCUUAAAGCGCAUGGACAUUCACCCAGGUUUUAGACCCGACCAGCAGCGUAUCAUCGGCAAACUGAAGGUGUGAGACCGAAACCCGAAACAUGAUUUUGUUCUCCAACAUUAUACCCCGUAAACAAAUUACUCUCAACCAUAGCAUGCAUCAUCACAUUCAAACCUUCGGCUGUUAGAAGAAAAAGAAAAUGAGAAAGUGGAUCCCCUUGUCUUAAACCCCUCUCAAGAGGGAACUCAUCAGUGGGACUACCGUUAACCAAGAUUGACGUUGUCGUCGUGCUAACACAUUCUCUAAUCCAUUUUCGCCACAACGUCGAAAAAGACAUAUGUCCCAUAACAUUAUCCAGAUAGCCCAGUCCAUCGAAUCAUAGGAUUUCUCGAAAUCCACCUUUAAUAACAACAAUUCCUUGUUAUACCUACGCGCCUCAUCAACCACCUCAUUCGCAAUGAGGAUUCCAUCGAGGAUUUGCACAUCCUUUACGAAUGCACUUUGCGACUCAAAAAUGACACUACCAAUACUGGAUGGAAAAUUGAAGGUGUAAAACGAGACUUGGCUGAUAUAUGUGAUACGUACUAUUCACAUAAAACCGUUGGAACGAAGAAUUUGCGAUCUGUCAAUGAAGUGGUGAAUCACUUACUUCCUGAAAGAUACCCCAAGUUACAUUGCAAGAAGGGAAAAUUAAAGGGCAAUGAAGUUAAGGAUGAAAACAGUAAUCUUGAAUCGAGGGGAAAAAGGAAGAGAAGAAGGAGAAAAUAAUGUUAAAGAAGUCUCAAGAAAAAGAAAGAAUAAUGUUUUUGUAAUC